UGAGUUCCCGCCAUGACUGUUCAGCUAAAUGGGUAGGUACGAAGAUAUUUAGUUAGUCAGUAUAAAUUCAGCAUCCUGUGCACGAGGUCCUACACUAAUACUAACAUUAGCUUAUACACGUUAUACAGCGCUGUACUCUGUAUAGAGGCUCAUUCAUGUUCAAUCAUGGAGAAAAACCUACUAUAAUCUUAAGCAGGUUAACAUUAUAAUGAAGGAAGUUGGUAAAAGACUAUAUCUACUGUAUAUAUAUAUAUAUAUGUGUGUGUGUAUGGGUAGAUUCAGGACUCAGAACAAUAGGUAGUAUGGUAGCCGGUAAAAUAGUGACAGAUUGAUUUUGACUGCCUUCCAGGCAAAUAUUGGUUUUCUGAAAUAAUGAUGAUAUCUGUUUGCGACCAUUACUAUAAAACUCCUUCAGGCAUCAAAUUAGGAAUCUAUGCGUUCUGCAUAUUGAAGAAAUUCUCUUUGGAAAUUUUUGCUUAUUAUCAGCUGCGAUCAUCUCCAGCCAGAAAGCUUUGAUUGGAUUUAAAUUCAAUUCUCCUCAAGGAACAUCAAUGAUUCAUCAAAAAUAUUUUGCACAUGUGCAUGUGGAAGAAAAAAUCUCAUCAUUGUUCAACGGCAAGUUUACACCUGUCCCAACAUCUUGGUGAUAUGCUGAGCCGCCUUCAAUCAAUUCCGGACUUAGACAGCAGACGACAAGGGAAAGAAACACUGGAUAGAAUUUCUGAUUUAUUCUUUAAAAAAUAAACUAACAUGUAAAUGAAACCAUAAAUUUAACUAAAAAUCUAUAAAACGAGGUCAAAUAUGAAUAAAUUAUAGACGUGCAUGGAGACAGUUGAAAAAGCGACCGGAGAAACAGACCAGAUCAAUGUUGUUUUUUUUUAUUUAAGAUAACUUUUUUUCUCAUAGAAAACAUUUUCUGGUUAAAGAAAAUCUAUUUAAAUUCUGUAAUGCGCUACAGUGUUCAAUGGAACUACAUUUCAUUGCAAGAUGAAACUGGGACCAUGUGUUCCGGAAGAGUAAGUAUAUACAGCGAUUCUCUCCUUGCUAACGAGAACUUAGGUGGAAACACUGGAGCCAUCAGACAUAUUAAUGAUUACACAAGGAUAUUACUCAAUGAUAUCGUGAUAUCGACAUAAUCGUACGUAUACUUUACAUACAUUAUAUACUCAAUUGAGUCAUUUAUAUAAUUUUACGCUAAGGAACAGGACUGCUAUUUCUUUAGAAAUUCUUUGACAGUUGUCAAAACCUCAUCGUCGGAGACCCACGGUCGAUUGCACUACGCUGAUCUACACUUAUCACUGUAUCGUAGCUUAGUGCAGUCAAUCGUGGGUCACCAAUGAUGCAAAACGUCGACGGUAGUAAAAUGUGAUAAUUCCCAUAACCAAGUCUCUAUUUUACUUUACAGGACUCGUGGGCCUGUUUAUUACAGUAAAUUUUACAAAAGUAAGGGCAAAAACUGGCCUUAAGUUCUGAACAUGAAAUACAUGGUUUUCUACAUAUCUAAUGUAUUUUGUAAAUGCAUAUCUGAUUAAUUGUAUAGUAUGAUACGCCUGAUGUUCUCGGUACAGUGCAAACUCCAAUGAACAUUUAGAAAGGCCUAUAUAUACUCUUGCCAAUAUUCUCCUCUUUGUGACAAUGUUUUUAGCCGUCUGUUUGAUGGUUUGAUGUGGAUUACUAUUGGUCAAACAUACCUGUGCUGAUGAAGACUUUAUGACGAGAUUCGUGUCUUAUUGGGACAAAAUCUACACGCCAGAUGGUCACAAUCUGUAAAAAAAAAGAUAAAAAAAAAAAGCAAACAAAAACAAAAAAAUAAAUACUAUCUUGAAAGGUAUGAAGAAUAUAGAUAAUCAAAUACAAAAUUGUGUGUUUGUUUUGAAAUAAGAGGUUUUCUGAUUUGCUGUUGUUGUUUUUAUUUAUGUGCCAUAUUAUAUCUUGGUGCUAAGAGAAAUCACAACAAACUGUUAAAUACAUGGUUAUAAAGGUAACCGUACCAGAAAUGUUUUUUCAAAGUAUUAUCAAUAUUUUUGAAAAGUUUAAACAUGCCAUCUGGGCCCUGUUGUUCAAUGAUUAGCUUAAUUACUUGAUAAGUGAACAUAACAUUUAUCCUUUACUUCAAAUCAUAUGUGUUUAUAUUCUUCAAAAUAAGCAGAUAGGAAGAGACUGACAAGUGUUAUAGUUUCAUAAAAUUUUGUCAAGUUUGUUUUACCAGAAAUAAUA